ensembl:lncRNA
AAAAAAAAAAAACCCAAAAAAAAAAAAACCCAAAAAAAAAAAACCACCAAGAAACACCAAAAAACCAAAAAACACCCCCUAGAAUUAACCUUCAGCACAUGUUUGUUCAGUGCUGAAAUGUAAGCCAGCUACUUAGGCUCCCAAAGAGACUAACAUAAUACAAAACCUAAAAUACAAAGAGAGAGAGCUUGGGCAGAAUAAAUAUCUCAUAAACCUCUGAGUCCACAGAAAAUAGAGAGUCAAAUACACAAGGCAAACAGUAAAGUUAAUACAAGCAAAAGAUAUGGGGAGGGGAUGAAGGUGCACCAGUGGUUUAUGGCUCUUUGCAUGAACUUGAAAGCAAAGUAGGAGUACUCAACAUCCCAGGCAAACACAAAAUGGUGACAUAACCUCCUUGACUUGAACCCUUCAGAGAGGCAAUGAGUGUCACAGCAGUGGAGGAAUAACCAUGGGCCUGCAAGAAGAGAGAAGAAAUUAAUUUUACUUAGAUCCACCACCUGAAGAGGUGCUAAGCAAAGGCUGAUCCUGGUGAUCUAAUGCAGUGAGCUGACUUUAAAUCACAUGGACUUGACUUACUCCCUUAGAAGGGAGACUUUUUAAAUUACAGAUGCUUUAGAGAAUUGGUGUUUGAAUUGUAACACUGGUAUUUCACAGAUGCUGGAGUGAUUGCAGACUCACUGCAGAGCACACAAGGACUCUCCUGCGGUGUCAAUACUGUUCAGCUCCAUUUUUUAACUUGGCUAUUUGCAUCUCCUACCUACCUCCUAUGUCUUUAUACUCUGAUGCAAGACCUGUAGGCCUCUUACCAAUUAGCAUAACUCAGUUCUAUCACUAUUUGAUGUAGUAGCAGCUGGGGUAUCCAAAAAGCAGAGAGAAUCAGACACACUGUACUGGUACAGCCUCUCUUCCUGACCUACAUCAGCCCCAUGCCAUACUCUGCUAUAUAUUUUACAAAGGCCAGUAGGAUGCUGCAAGCUGCCAGACACAAGAAAAUAUUAGCCUUGUCCAAAAACUUGGGAGCAUGAUGUAUGGGCUCUGGGAUGUGUGUACUUCCAGAAGGAAUACUAACCCACACCGGUACACUAGCCAGGGAAUGCUGCUGAGCCCUCUCAGGUGGGCAGCCCACCUACAGCAUCUUUAGGCACUUAAUUUACACUUAGAAGAUCAGUGCUAUUUGGCCCAAAUCACCCCCCUUCUGUAUUACAGAUGUACAUUUCAUGAGCAUAGUUCCACCCUGUACCAGAGAAUUUCUAGAUCUCAACCUAAACCACUAACAGUUGUUCCCAUUGAGCCAUUUCAGAAUCCUGAGACAGACAGAUACUGUACAUCCCUGGGACAUUCUACAGUGCACAGCAAGGCCACAGGUAUAGCUCUAAGGUCACUUUAAAUCAGUGGCUAUUUCGAUCAUUUGCCAGUAGCAUUCUGCUUUUUUAACAUUACCUACUGAUUUAUAUAUUAUUUUUACAUUGUUCAUAAAUACAAUUGGCAUACAGAAGAUGGCAUCUUCCCCCUCCCUUUUUUAAUUGAGUUUUUUCCCAGCAGCGCACAGGGGUUCAUUUCAUCUUUCAGUUGUUCUAUUAAUUUAUAUUAAACCCUCACAAGAUUCAUACUCCAGUGAAUGUGGUUGAAACUACAGCAAUAUCAAAUCUACAAACUCAUCAGGUAGCCAGGCACUGAUGAAAAUCAUAGGAGAGAACCACAGAACAGAACCACAGAACAGAACCACAGAAUAUCACGGGUUGGAAGGGACCCACAAGAGUUGAAUCCAGCUCCUGGCUCUGUACAAGACAAACCUAAAAUACAGGAAGUCUUGUCUUCCUCACAUGAAUUAAGGCAUUCAGUUAUGGCUCUGACUAAAGGUGGGCAUUUACAGGCUCUCCCACAGGAGGUUUUCCUGUAUAUUGCAGCAUGCUCACAUGGUCUGCCUCCUUUCUGAACUGAACUAUGAUCUGUAUAUUUCAUCAUUUCUUCUGGACUCCAAAAAGACAAAGUGGUGGAGAACAUGCACAUGGACAACUUCUCUAGAAACACUUCAUUUGUAGCAACUUCUCUUCUUUGAAUGCUUGCUCGGUUUUAUACGUAGGCUGUGGGUGACCCAGCUCGUCUCCUGCUUUCACAACUUACCUGGAAUGGGAGUUGAUGUCCUCAAGGCAAGGGAACUGCAGUGCUGCUCUGGCAUCCACAGCACUGCUCCGGGAUGCCUCUGCAGCUGUAAAAUGGUUGAGAGGUGUAAGGCUGAACUGCAGUGGCCACUCUGCAGAUGCCAAGAGACAUCAUUUAGCAAGGCAACCAACUUCAUUGUGUUGGGUUGAAAAGGCAGCUGCCUGCCUAACAGCACCACAGCAGCAACACGAGAACAGAGCCCCAUCACUUCUGCAAUUAAACACCUCUGCAGGGAUGCAAAAACAGGCAAACCCGAUCUGAACCAUUCUGUCCUUAGCACAUUAAAAGGAUUGGACCUACUUGGCACUUAACUCCAUGAGAACAUGAUGCCUCACCUGGGUGGGCUGAGAGAUGAAUGAAUGAAUGGCCUGAGCUUCGUUGCCAAGCAGGCACAUUACAGACAGCACAUUCUAGGGACAACUCACUGUUUAGAUACACCAGGUUUUAGAUCCUUUCACCUUCAUGAUACAGGAGAACUCUUUUGUGGUGAUGUGCACUGUUAACCCAAAUGCAGCCACACUCUGCACACAUUAGAAGAAAAUCUGGAAAUAUUCCAGAUCACCUGGAAUUACUUUCAUUAGUGUGUGGGUUCCUUGAGGGACCAGGUAGUUCAUAUACAUUCUAUCUUGGUAUUCCCAGUAAGUCUAGGCUCAAAGUUUGGAAGUUCAUCCAAGGAAUGAGCAUCAAGUCUUUCAGCCACUGAAGGAACAGAGGGGCCUAUACAGAUGAUUUAAACACCCUGGCUCUUGUCUGUAAAUACUGAAGGGUUUGCCCUGUAAACCAUACUUCAGGGCACAAUUAAAAUGCAAUUAAGAUGACUGAGCCACGCUUAGUACAACAUACAUGCAGGUCUCAUGGGAUGAGGACAAAUGGUUUUAAAAAUCAGCCAAAAGAAAGAUCUAGAACAGAUACUGUUUCCUAACAUAAUUUCUUGCACCUAUAAACUCAAACCCACCCUUUAAAAAAAAAAAAAUUAUCCAUUGCAAUCCUAGUAUUUUUUUCCCCUAAAAUAUAUUUCAAUAUUUCCAUGCAUACAAGUGAACGUCACUGAGCAA